UACGGAGGGCGUAAGCGUUGUUCGGAAUCACUGGGCGUAAAGCGCGUGUAGGCGGCUUGGUAAGUCGGGUGUGAAAGCCCGGAGCUCAACUCCGGAACUGCAUUCGAAACUACCUCGCUCGAGUCCCGGAGAGGGUGGUGGAAUUCCCGGUGUAGAGGUGAAAUUCGUAGAUAUCGGGAGGAACACCAGUGGCGAAGGCGGCCACCUGGACGGUGACUGACGCUGAGACGUGAAAGCGUGGGGAGCAAACAGG
rnacentral:rRNA from 1 species